rnacentral:piRNA from 2 species
GAUGAACAUAAGCAAGGACCCGUA